rnacentral:rRNA from 1 species
GACGAACGCUGGCGGCGUGCUUAACACAUGCAAGUCGUACGGUAAGGCCCUUUCGGGGGUACACGAGUGGCGAACGGGUGAGUAACACGUGAGUAACCUGCCCACAACUUUGGGAUAACGCUAGGAAACUGGUGCUAAUACUGGAUAUGUGCUCCUGCUGCAUGGUGGGGGUUGGAAAGCUCCGGCGGUUGUGGAUGGACUCGCGGCCUAUCAGCUUGUUGGUGGGGUAGUGGCCUACCAAGGCGGCGACGGGUAGCCGGCCUGAGAGGGUGACCGGCCACAUUGGGAUGGAGAUCCGCCCCAGCCCCCUGUGGGGGGAAGAGGGGGGAAAUAUGGAACAAGGGGCGCAAGCCGGAUGCAGCAACCCCGCGGGCGGGAUGAGGGCUUUGGGUUUGAAACCCGUUUUCAGCAGGGACGAGGCUUUUUGUGAGGGUCCCUGAAGAAGAAGCACCGGCAAACUCCGUC